rnacentral:lncRNA from 1 species
UUAAAUCAAUCAAUCACAAUGAUGCACAAAUAUAGUUGUAUCUUAAAAAUCAUAACAACUAAACAUAGCAUCCAGUCAUAUCUCUAAGAUAUGAAAAAUAUAAUCAUACAAUAUGAUUAUAACUAGCAUUUUAAGCAUAUCACAUAUGCAUGAAAUUCUAAUUACAUGCAUGAAUACAAAAUAUUUUUUUUACAGUUCUUCUUCUUAGGAUAUCACAGUGGCACCUCUACACGCCAUAAGAGUACCCUAUUG